rnacentral:lncRNA from 1 species
AGUUCUAGGGAAGCUGAAACAUGUUAAUUGACAGCAAAGAUGUCUUCAGAAUCAUCAUUUAUCCCCAAGCACAAAUUAAAAACAAAAUUUCUGAGGUCAUGGAAGAAAGAAGAUAUGCACCACAUUAUCACCAGAUCCUGUCUAAAAGUUGUCCCCAUCCUGAUGGAUUGAUCGAGACUUUGGAUUCUGGCAGUCUUUGAAACUCACACUGCAUGACAUGUGCAAAGUCCUCCUUCAGUCGAAGGAUGAUUCUUCAAAGGGUGAUCCCUCAAAGACACUAAGAAGGCAGCUGACCCCCAGAAGGCCCUUUUGGAUUGCAGAAUUCCAGGCGCUCGCACCUCUGAAUACAGCACUGAAGACAGCUUGGCUGCCUCCCCGCCUCCUCUGUCCUGGUACAGCUGCAGAGGGGCUGACUUUGGCAGCCAUAGAUCACUGAGGCUUUGUCUCAGCUUCUCUCAGAACAGCUUUUCAUCAGGAGAUUCACAACAUCUCUCAAAACACAUGUAGGAAGAAGAAGUAAAGCAAACACCAAUGGUUUCUUUCAAGAAAGAGACUACUUGGAAUCUUUGGGUUUUGGUUUAUGAUUACAGUGUGUGGAACGGAUCAUUUCUGGUUUAUGAGCAGCUUGAUGUGCUAGAAAGAGCUGUGAAUUUGGACUUGGAGCAAUUAGGAUUCUGGUUCCAGCUUUUUUCCAGCUACAGCUCGCGAGUAACUUAGUUUAGCUUCUUUGACCUUGGUUUCCUCAUCUGUAAAAUGAGAGGGUUUGCUCAGAUGAUCUUUGACCUAAUGAGUCUACGAAAAGUGAAUGUUGGAAGCACAUGUUCACCUUCUCCAAUUACCAGCUGUGAUUAUGUGACUGGACCAAAUGGCACUAACUGUCGAAACCUUUUAGGCUGAAGGGGAAGCACUAACUGUUGAAACCUUUUAGGCUGAAGGGGAAGCAUUCUGAAAUAGGACAAGGGGCACCUCGUGUUGAAACCUGGAGCUGGUCAACCCUCUGAGGCCAAUGCCGACCUUUGCAUCUGCCUCCCACGCCCUGCUUGUUUUAGCUGGACCAGGAGAAACUAAUGUCAAGACAAAAAAAAAAAAAACCUGAAAUCCAUAACAUUUUGAUAGGUAGCUUUAUGAACAGUUACAAAUCAGAUGUUUGCCCCCCAAAUUUUAACUUUAUUCUCUGAAACAGAUCUAAAAUUCCUAUCUACCUCACAGUUUCACAGAUAACCCAGUCUCUUCCAGUUUAUAACUGCCUCUUUGGGCCUAUUUCUUUUAAUGCUGUUUGAGACCUGUUAAUGGUUGUAGCCUGGUCAGAAAAAGGACUCCUGGAUCCUCCUGGAAGCUUCGUGAUUUGUUACUGCUAAUUCACGUUUACCCACAAUGAGCAUCCAUACAUGGGUUCUGAAGAUUAAAGUCAUCCUUGAGAAGGGAGAGUGGAAUGCCAAAACUUUUCUUGGAUUCCAGAGCUCUGGUUCAUGUCUGCAACAUGGAUGCAAUGAUAUAACCUUAUUUUAUGUAUCAUCCAUUCACCUGUUGAUCAAAGACUGUAUUCAAGAUGGCAGGCACGGUGAAGUCAAUGAUAACUCUAGUUUAUUGAGAAACUACUCGGCAUCAUACAUUAUCUUAAUUAAUCCUCUUUACAAUCCCAGAAAGUGUUCCUUAUCCUUUAUCUUCAAGUACCCUAAGGUGCAAAGCACAGAAGGAGGGGUGGUUUAGAAAGACUGGGCUCGGCCGGGCGCAGUGGCUCACGCCUGUAAUCCCAGCACUUUGGGAGGCCGAGGUAGGCGAAUCACCUGAGGACCGGAGUUCAAGACCAGCCUAACCAACAUGGAGAAAUCCCGUCUCUACUAAAAAUACAAAAUUAGCCGGGUGUGGUGGCGCAUGCCUGUAAUCCCAUCUACUCUGGAGGCUGAGGCAGGAGAAUGGCUUGAACCUGGGAGGCAGAGGUUGCUGUGAGCCGAGAUCACGCCAUCGCACUCCAGCCUAGGCAACAAGAGCGAAACUCCAUCUC